UACGGGGGGAGCAAGCGUUGUUCGGAUUUACUGGGCGUAAAGGGCGCGUAGGAGCGGCCACGACAAGUCACUUGUGAAAUCUCCGGGCUUAACUCGGAACGGUCAAGUGAUACUGUCGGGCUAGAGUGCAGAAGGGGCAACUGGAAUUCUCGGUGUAGCGGUGAAAUGCGUAGAUAUCGAGAGGAACACCAGAUGGCGAAGGCAGCCAUCUGGACCGACACUGACGCUGAGGCGCGAAAGCGUGGGGAGCAAACAGG
rnacentral:rRNA from 1 species